UACGUAGGGUGCGAGCGUUGUCCAGAAUUAUUGGGCGUAAAGAGCUCGUAGGCGGUUUGUCGCGUCUGCUGUGAAAACUCGGGGCUUAACUCCGGGCCUGCAGUGGGUACGGGCAGACUAGAGUGCGGUAGGGGAGACUGGAAUUCCUGGUGUAGCGGUGGAAUGCGCAGAUAUCAGGAGGAACACCGGUGGCGAAGGCGGGUCUCUGGGCCGACAUUGACGCUGAGGAGCGAAAGCGUGGGGAGCGAACAGG
rnacentral:rRNA from 1 species